rnacentral:rRNA from 1 species
GACGAACGCUGGCGGCGUGCUUAACACAUGCAAGUCGAACGGUGAACCUCUUCGGAGGGGAUCAGUGGCGAACGGGUGAGUAACACGUGGGCAACCUGCCCCCGGCUCUGGGAUAACUCCAAGAAAUUGGGGCUAAUACCGGAUGUUCACCGCUUCCCGCAUGGGUGGUGGUGGAAAGGGUUUCCGGCUGGGGAUGGGCCCGCGGCCUAUCAGCUUGUUGGUGGGGUAGUGGCCUACCAAGGCGACGACGGGUAGCCGGCCUGAGAGGGUGACCGGCCACACUGGGACUGAGACACGGCCCAGACUCCUACGGGAGGCAACAGUGGGGAAUAUUGCGCAAUGGGCGGAAGCCUGACGCAGCGACGCCGCGUGGGGGAUGACGGCCUUCGGGUUGUAAACCUCUUUCAGCAGGGACGAAGCGCAAGUACGGUACCUGCAGAAGAAGCACCGGCCAACUACGUG